rnacentral:lncRNA from 1 species
AUGGUGAAGAACUCCCUGUGCAAGAUUUUGAAGUCUCUGCUAAAUGCGUUUCAGAGAAAUACUUGCAAUUAAAUUAAUCAGUUUUACAUCUGCCACAACUUCUUUUUUUUGCUGUUUCUGUAAUUAUUGCUGAUUCUGUAACACAAAUUAAUAACAGUAUUAUCCCUGAAAAUCAGCAGUCCUUCAAAACAUCUGCUUUGUUAUUUUUUGUCAGAUGCAUGGAGCCUCAAAGUGCUAGCAUGGCACAUUGAGACCUGUCUACGAGCACUGAAAGCUUAAGCUUGCCAGUAAAUAUAAAGAGGUGGUGAUGGGUUUUGAGCUGCGUACCAAGGGAUGCCACAACAGCUUGGCAAUUCAGGCUUCUGACCGUGAGAGUAAGAGGAGUUCUGCAUAAAUAACAGAAGACAGGCUUAUAAAUGUUAGAGUGGAGGCAAAGGAAUUAACUCAGGACUAGUGAAUGAAAAUCAAAAGGUGGCAUCUCUGCAUCUCUGAAGUUCUGAGGAGAAAUCAUAUGGAGAACACACUGCUAGCUUGGGCAGCACCCAAAGAAAAGCACAGGUGGGACAGGCAGGAAGGCCUGGUUUGCAUAAACCAAUCAAGGAAACAAUAAGCAGAAGACUCAGCGUCUUCCACUAGUGAAUCCCAAAGUAGAAGGUAUCACCAGUGUUCUUUGCUGGCUGAAAGGAUUUGAGAAGCAGAUUGACACAGUGGAAAUUCAGUCAAGCCACAUGCCUGCAAGAGAGGUCAUGA